rnacentral:tRNA from 3 species
GGUAUAGCGCAGUCUGGUAGCGCGCCUGCUUUGGGAGCAGGAUGUCGGGGGUUCAAAUCCCUCUACC